GGCACCCUCUGCUCCUUCCCUUGCCUUGGCCAUUUGAGGUGGGCACAGUACCCUCCAUGAACCUUGCCUCUAGUGGCACUCGGCUCCAGCCACUGAAGCAGGUCCCUCUGUGGUGGUGACAUCAGUACGUCACGCUUAGCCUCUGGGGCUUUCUGGAACUACCUGUUCACAUUUCCUGGGUCAGCAGUCUCCUGGCUCCUUUCCCGUCAAAGCGGACCCCUUGCUGGCCUCUUCAGAGCUGAAAGCUACAGAUGGUGUUCCAGACGAGUCUCUGAAAUCCCUGCUGGGUCUGGGGUGCUCCUCCUGAAGGCAGAGAAGAAGCUGGUGACUCUCUCAGCCUCCUCCCCGGUGUGCCAGUGAGUGCCUCAACUGCAGAGUGCAUGGGAGAAAGGAUGCGGCCUGGACUCACCCAGAACAGACAACAGGGA